ensembl:lncRNA
UGACAAAGCCUUUAUUUAAGAAAUAGGCACACGAGGGAAAGAUAUCAAACAGAAUCGACUCACCCCUCCCGGUAGCAGCGCGCAGCCCGAGCCGAGCUGAGGAAUGUGUCCCUCCCCCGUUCGUACCGCCGCGCCGCCGCACUCACACACUCACAGAGCCCACCCAUUGGUUCAGGCUGUGACCCUGGAAUUCCACCACACUCCACCCCUUCACAGCAUGAACCAAUGACUGAGCAGGUAGGGGGUGAGCCCCUGCAACCUGGUGGCCCAAGACACAAUGCACAUCGCGACGCAUACACAACACCCGCCGCAAUAUAGGAUGUCAAGACAAUAAAGGCAAUCAGUGGCAGUCCCCUUCACGGUUCUGUUGGGCCAGUACUUGAUGUUCUUUCUCGAGGCGUAUCUUUUUCAAGGACCAGUAGUGCUUCUGAUUCAUGCUCUUCAGUCCCCCAAAGUCUGCUGGAUCCAUCUGUAUACCAGGCAUCUUCUGGGAUAGGGUAUUUUCCCUCCUGUACAGGACUCUUUUCUGGACAAGUAACCACUAUUUCCUCAGGUGUCUCGCUGUGCUAUGUUACUGGCCCAAGUAUCUUUUGAAGUUCUUCCUUCAGUGGAGAUGAUGACAGGCGGCUUCUUUGGCUAAGAUAGGCAACCCAGCGUGCUACUGUUUGUGAUUGGGCCACCCCGGUCUUAGGAAUGUGGGUUAGGUCUUUUACCCACCCCUGAAUUGGUAAAGUUGUUUUGACAAUAACCUCUGCAGUCUGAGUUAUUGGUUCUACUGCCUGCAAUGCAGAAUAGGUAGCCAAUAACUGCUUUUCAACCAUGCUGUAUCUCUCUUCUGCUCCAUGCCAAAUCUGUGACCAGAACCCAAUUGGGAUUCGAACAGAACUCUGGCACUGCCACAACCCCCAGCCAAACCCUUCUUGGGUUACAUGCACAUCUAGUUCGGCUGGAAGGGUCAGAUCAAAUAUACCUAGUGCCUGGGCCUGUUUAACAGCUAUUUUUGCUUGCUGGAAGGCUUCUUGUUCUGUUCUACCCCAAUCCCAUACUUGGCCUUUUUUUGUUAAUCGAUAUAAGGGUUUUAGCAGUUGUGCUAAGUGGGGAAUAAAGGAUCACCAAUAUCCUAAUAUACCCAAAAACUCCUGCAACUGCUUCGGUUUCGUAGGAACCGGGAACGCUUGGAUCUUAUCAAUGAUCGCACUGGGUAACACCUUAGUCUUACCUGACCAGACAACACCCAGGAAUUUAACUGAUAGCCCUGGUCCUUGUACUUUUUGUGGGUUUAUAGCCCAACCUUUUUCCUGUAAAUAAGUAAUUAAUGAUGGUACUGUCUUCUCUAAUGCCUCGAUUGAGUCAGACGUUAACAUCAAAUCAUCGAUGUAGUGGAACAUUUUGACAGUAGAUGGUUUGUUCCAAUUUGCCAAGUCACUUGCCACCAAAUUAUGACAAAAAGUAGGUGAAUGCACGUACCCCUGAGGUAGAACUUGAAAAGUCCACUGCCUGCCCACCCACGUGAAUGCAAACUGGUCUUGGGACUCCUUAGCAAUUGGAAUGCUGAAAAAUGCAUUUGCUAGAUCCAGAACGCAGUGGUAUGUUUCUAUUUCUCUAUUUAAUGUAUCCAUGAGGGAGGCGAUGUUGGGUACAGCUGCAUGGAUCGGUGGCGUGACUUUAUUUAGUUCUCUGUAGUCUACUGUCAUUCGCCACGUAGCGUCUGACUUCCUGACUGGCCAUAUGGGGGAGUUGUAUGGGCUGUGUGCAGGUCUAAUGAUCCCUACUCUCUCCAGCUCCUGCACAGUCCUGGUAAUUUCUUGUUGCCCACCCGGGAGUCUAUACUGCUUUGUAUUUGUGAUCCGGCGUGGUUGUGGCAAACAAAUAGGUUCAAUUUCGGCAUGACCCCUUAUGAUUGCCUGCACUGCCCAGAUACUAAUACAUCUUUCCCUUAAUCUGAACUCCCCCACAGUGGUUUGGAGAGUCAGACCUGACAGGAUAUCAAUCCCCAAUAUGUACUCUGGAAUUGGGGCGAUAGACACCUUGUAAUCCUGGGGUGGUAGACGCCCAACCCCCAAUUUCAACUAUGUUUGUGUUAUGGGGAUCAUCUGCCCCCCGAACCCACCUAUCAUUGCCUUAGAGCCUGAAAAUUGGUUUGGGUCACCAUAUAUAAUUGAUGUUUCUGCCCCAGUAUCUACUAAUGCCAUAACCCGCUGCACAUUCUUUUGGGACCAAUGAAUCGUUAGUUCAACGUAGGGUCUCCGGUCUCCUCUGGAGACCCUAGUCUUGGGGAAUUUUGGCUCCCCUGUCAUGCCAUCAGCUGUGCAAUCCCUAAGUCUUUUUCCUCUGAUGGCUCAACUGUGGCUGCCCGGGCCACCUGAGGAGGUUUACGUUUUUUUUGAUGGGACUAUGAAGUCUUCUAGAUUCCACGUGUUUUGUGGAAUCCGUUCUAUGAGUCUAACUCCUUCCCUUUUAGGAGAGCGUUGGAAUCUCUGACUGUUUGGUAACUGUUUCCAUAGUUGUAAUAAGACCUGGUUAGGCUGUCCAUUGAUCUUUUGAAAUUGAACUCCAGCCCUAAUCAAGUCAGUAAACAUUUGUUUUCUUGAGACCCUGAUGGGUCCAGAUUGAAUUACGUUAGGGGCAGGUCUCCUAGGUCGUGGUGGCGGAUGGAUGUCCGACUUUUCCACCACCAUUCGGACAUUGCGCCUGGCCUGUAGGCGCUCUGUCUCCCCCCAGAUCUGCCACCAAUUGGGCGGCCUGUUGUAUAAUGGCCUCUGAGGCCACUAGGGGAUUCAGUAUGGAUACCAAAGUACCAUACUGAUGUGGUGGAGCCUGCUGCAGGAUGAGGUCCCCCAUUCCUGCUGAAAAUUUUAUCAUAUCUGGGCUCUCAAAAUUCUCCUCAUAAAUUGCCUCCUUCAUACCUAAUUCUCGGAUGUAAUUUUGUAAGUCCUCCAUAGAGGACCAUAGGCCGGUAUUUAAUGGUAUAUCCGUUUUAUUCGCCCAUGUCACACGGCAUGCGGCCAUUAACCAUGCAAUCAGUGAAUGAUUUUCUUCAUUGUGUUGCACAGCCGCAUAUAGUCUUUGCCCGAGGGCCGGGUGAGUAGUAAUGGAUGCCAGUUUUGAGAUUUCUGGCCCAUUCACCACAACGCUUUCUGCCCCCAUGUCAUAUAGUCUGAGUAACCAUGCUGGCACACUCUCUCUCGGUCUUUGUCUAAAGCGUUGUACUAAAUCCAUUAAUUCAGCUGCCGUGUAUGGGCGAGCUGUUACAUGUAGUGUGCUCUGGGCAGGGGGCCACUGGUCAGGGGGCAGCCCCGCUGGCCUGUCCUGUGUUUUUUUUGUUUUUUGAGUUACAACUGGUUGGAUCUCAAAGGGAUCUAGCUCUAGUGGAGCCUCAAGAUCCGACUUCUUAGUGCUUUCAUUUUCUGAGUCCAGUUCAUGUGGACUCUCUUGUAUAGGAUCCCCAGUAAUUUCUAGAGAGAAGUUUCGGAUUUUUUGUACGGGAAUUAUAGGGUUAGGUUUUUUCCCUCUCAAAAUUGCAACCUGUCUUUCCAGUUCUUCCAAACAGUCACGUAAUAGUUGAUUUUCAUCAGUGAGAGCCUCUUCAGUUAUAUUUAGCCGGUUCAAGGCCAUCAGCAGCGGCCACGCCACCGUGGAGCUCCUAGCUGCAUUUAGAAAGUAAAUGCAUACAUGCAUAUGCUGAACAGGAAUUUAUACACACUUUCCCCCAGCUGUCAGCAUUUUCCAGUAGACACAGCCCUGCUCGAAAGCCACACGCCCUCUGACUUACUUUUCUACCUGCCUCCAUGUGAACCAGCUUCUUUUCUGUGACAAGAGAACAUCUGCUAAGGGCUGUGCAGGGUGUCUGUUCCCUCCUGCACCAUCCUCAGCAGAAAUCAGAGACUCCCAUCACAUCCUGUAAAUGAGUGCUGAGCCAGGCAACCGAAGUCAAAGAAGUAUUUAGAAUACCUUCAAUUGUUGCUGAAAAGCUGAUAAAAAUACAAUUAUUUCUUAAAUGAGGGCAGUUGAAAAAGUUCUGUCCAAAUUCUAAAAAGAACUUUGCUUAUUUGUUUUGAAGAGAAGACAAAUCAAUCUAAGAUAGAAAUGGGAAAAUGUUACAAUGCUGUUUCUGCUUUCACUAACACUGUUCCGUAUUAAAUAUAUCAAGGAGGUGGAACAGACUGCAUAGCAUCUGGAGUGCAUUACUCUUUGGAUUUUAUUGGUAUGAUUCAUCAAACGUGGAAGAGAAAGCAUGCUGCUUUAAAGCUGACCAAGCAGCUUCCCUGAACUAUGGUCUGUGCUGCCUGCAGCAGUUUCUGACAGCUAUGUCUAAACAAAAACAGAGCGCUUUUAAUAUGGGUGUUGAUUUGGGGGGGGGGGGGGGGGUAUUUACAACUUCCCCCCCCAAAAAAGGCAAAUUUUGACAUAAGUUUGAAGUAAACAUAAUGUUAGAAUGUAAAGCCAGAUGCCAACAAUCAGGAUCUCUUGAAAUUUAAGCAUGCCUGUGUGGCUCUAGAACUGCUUCGUGUAGAAUACAAGGAAGGACAGUUCCCAGUUGCAUGGCUCCCCAUGGCGGUGUCAGACCCCUGAGUGACUGUAGGGCCUGUGUGAUGUGUGACAAAUGGAGCAAAUGUUUUCUUUCUGGAAAAAACUACUGCCCCAUGAACAUACCACUCUUGCACUCAUACUGUCACUAUGAACCAAAUUCUCUCUCAUUAUACUGACACACACUCCUCUCAUAAUCCAAAGUUACAAUGCUCUGUGCCCACAAACAAGGCUGAAAUGCCCUGGCCACAACUGAGUGCAAAUUUCAGCCUGUGCUUAGCUUUAAGCCAAACUAAUCCUAAAUCCAGAUGACAUAAGCACACAUUUGAAUAUAGUUUUGCUAAACCAAAGCCUUUCAGCAUAUUUCUGUCUCAAUCAGUGCACACUGUUAAAAUUAUUUAUUAAAUGCCUUGGUCAAUUUUAAUACUGGAUUCUGUUGUUUUAUGUACUUUCUUUUUCCCCUUAAUUCCUUGUUACUCCUUAAAUUUUUUCCAGCAUUAAAUAUAUAUAUAUAUAUGAUCAUGUUAAAACUGUGUAGCAAUGGCAGAAAUCUACACGUUGGGAUGGAUCUCAUACAAAAAAAAAACCUCCCACCAUAUUCCUAAUUGCAUUCUGACACAAAUAGUUUUUAAACAAAAUUUCACAUCAGGUUUUUAAGGAAGAAAUAAACCCAGAUUAGAAAAAUAAUAACAACAAAAAUCAGUAUUCGAAUUUUAAGUGUGCAUAGUAGAGCCCAAAUUCUUGGACUGCACUGCGUUCUCAUCUUGCACAUUAAUAUAAAGGUCUGCAGCUGCCUGAAUUUGGAACUUCAUCCAACAAACACUGAAAUUUUGUAUGUCUCAUUCAGAAAACCCAAAUUCCCCCAUGGUUUACAACCACUGUUAUGUAGUGACACGUUGUUACUGCAGUCCUACCUGAAGCAAUAAGAAAUAUCGGGCACUGAGAGCACUGAGGAAUGCUGUUGCUCUGAGUACAGACUCAUUUCCAGUCCCUCUGUCUUCAAAAUUCAGCAUAUGUAUUAUCUGCACUGUAGCAGAGAUCUCAGUCACUAAAAGCCUUACACAACCAAGUCAGUUUCCUUCCCACUGAGAUACUUUGGGACUGAGACUUAGAAAAUAACCAAGUUUGAGACAAGGCAUAAUAUGCAAUACCCCAUAAAGUUUUUCAGGAACUUUUCAAGAACAUUGGUUUCUUCCCAAAAUCAGAAAAUAAAGUUUGAAAAAAAAACAGGAGAGCAUUAUAACUACAUAUUAAUGACGAAAUAAAACAUAGCUCUGAUUGCCAUCAACAGGAACUAAAAACAACUGCGAGCAAAUUCUGAGAUUCAUUUGUUUAAAAUGAUAACUCUUUACUCCUCACAGUUAUUAUUCCUCAAAUCAGAUUCUUCACUGGGAGAGAUUGGUGUGCAGGAGUUGCUCUGGUUGGUACACUUCUCUAGUCAAUAAACAAGAAGCUUGGGCUUCUAUUCAAAUAAGUGAGGGGUGAGGAGAGAUGCCCUUGGGAUGUACAAAUGUAGGAGCUGUGACCAAACUGUGAAUAACUGUACCAAAUGGGAAGCUUUCAGUUAGACAUUUUAGAACACAGACUUGCAAAACUGACAUGAUGUGUUCCAGGAAAACUUACCCAUAGCUUCCACACUUACUCCUCGUUUUCAGAAAUGUGUCAUUUCCUAUGAAAAUUAAUUUGGACAAAAACAACACCAAAAGCCUGUUUUUCUGCACUUCUGUAAAUCUGAGCCCAGAAGAAUAAAAAAAAUAAAGUAAAGCACUUGUAGAAAUGAGGCAAGAUUGUCAUUCUGGUACUGACCUCCCCACCAUAUGCAUAGAUAACACAGAGAACAAGCUGCAGGUGUUUCAGCAGUACAGCUGCACUUAUUCCUUGAUGCCAACAACCAGUGUAAAUCUAACAGACCAUGCAAAAUCAAGUCAUGCUACAAAGCAACUGAAGUGUGAAGAUAGGAAAGCUACUGUAAGACUUUUCACUUCUCAAACUUGCACUUGCCUAUCACAAUAUAGAUCAAACUAUCUUCUGAGACUUUGGAGGAAAGUUUUGUAUGGCAUGUGACUACUUUGACUACACAGUUAUGGUCGAGCCUGAAAGAAAAUCACUUCAUGUAAGCAGUUCAGCAAAACCUGUACGCCAUUAUCUGCACAGAGCUCUUCUGAACUCCUCCUACCCCUUCCCUCACAGUCCCAUUAUUUCUACAGGCCUUUUUUUUUUUUCCUGCAGAGAGCAGCAUAGCAUUUUUACUUUAUAGUUCCAGUGUUCUUUAUGUGGCUGAUGGAGAACUCUGUAAUGAAAGCUUCUUUCAGCUGGCUGACUUAAUAGUUCAUGCCCCCACAUCAGACCCUGCUCUCCCUAGAAAAAACUUUGUCACUUACCCAUAUUGUCCCACUUCAAGCAUGGUAGCCAGGAUUUCAGAAAUAACAGAGAAAAAAAGAAUGCACUGAAGUUUUUCUCUUGCAAAAGAUUUUUAUCUUACCGUAUUGACAGAAGCAAACAAGAGUCUCAAUUACUGAAAUGAAAAUCUGAACCCAAGUCUGCUCCUCAGCUUGCUACCUUGCUCACUUUAAGGGCAAAUAUGCUUUCAACAUUUUUAGUAAUAUACUGAAGAUUAGAAAGUCAAUACUGAGCACAUAGAGAAGGAAGGCAGUGUACAAAGAACAGCAAUCCCAACCUUGCAAAUGCUCAGCUGCUACAGACCACUGCGGAGAUUUCUGUUUUUAUCAGAUGGAACUGAAACUAGAAUUAUAUCAUGAGUGGAAUUUAUUAUUGUGGACAACAUAUGACAUUGGUGUGAAUUGUAAAUGAACCAGUAGAAAUAAGUUUUGGCCUCUGUAAUUUCUGUAGCUAAAGCCAGCUUAUCAUGGAAGAUAGCACUUUUUUUUUUAGCACUGCUAAAAUCCUUGCAAAGUUUUAGUAUAUUUUUUUUUCUAAUAAAAAUUUGUAGAACUAGAUAUAUAUUUAGCUCCAUGAGGUCUUUGCUUGCAGUAAGACAGCCUUGUUAAUAAAUAAGCAAAUUAACUUUUGAAAGCAUCAGAUAAACAUCAAAGCAAAAGCCUGAGAAAAUAACUGAAACCCACUUCAAACAGAAAACCAUUUUUCCCUCUGAAUUAGCAAGCACACGUAAGUCAGCUCUGGCUGGCUUGCAGUGAGGGCUUCCCAAGUGUCAUGGCUGGAGGCAAGGAUACAUCCUGUCUGGAUAAAUCUGCUUUUCUGCAACACUGCUAUCUGACCCAUGUCUUUCAAGGCACCACACUGUGACCCCCAAGACUGACUGCCUAAAAUAAAAUCUGUAAUUCCUUACAAUUACAGUCUACUUCUUGAGCAGGGUCUUGACAGAAAGAAGAAGACAUGCUGCCAUUAAGCAGAGACAGAAAUGGGCAGAGGCAGUGGUCUGCCCUCUCCCAACUGUGUGCCUCAGAACUGGGAAGUGUACCCAGCCCAGCUGUUCUCCUGGGCUAGGGUGGGAGCAUAAACCUACUUUCAUGGUUCCAGCAUCAAACACCUUUCCAAGCUACAGAAUCCCUUGGGAGAACAAGACUGAGGGCUGCCAUGGCUCUGCCCAACUUGAGGUGGACUUCACACACGACAAGCCAACAGCAAAAGAGGAGAACUCACAUCCAGUUACACUUCUGGUUUCACUCCCGUAGACCAAGUUAUUGCUCCAGGAUCCUUCCUCAUAGCUAUCUAGCCAUCAACUCAAGGUUAAAAUGUGGCUCUCCUUCCUUCCACGUCUUGCUCCUUUCUUUCUGUGGACAGGACCUCUACCCUGGCAGCAGCCUAGGCAUGACACUAAGAGGUCCUGGCACACAGGUUUCCAAGUGAUGCCUAGCUUAUCUAAUGUGCACCACUUAACAUGCUCUUCCCUCUCAUCACAAAGAUAUCCAAAUCUCAAGCAUCUUGUAGCUUGAUUACUGACAAAUCUACAUUUCUGGUCUUGACAAACACUGUCUGCUCUCUCCAUUUUUUAUAUUGCUGACCAGAUAAUUUUCUCAGGCCAUGACUUUGAUUCUUCCACACUUCUCUUUGUGUCACUAGGUAUGGAUUCCCUGAGAUACCUUUUUGUAUUCCUUUCUCCACAGCUGUGGUGCUUUGGAAUAGGCAGAGCCUCAAAAUAAGGCAAAAAAAAAGAAAAAGAAGAGAAAGAAGUCACAAAAUGCUUUUGUUAGACACAAAACACAAAGGCUGGGGGAACAGAGCAUGGUUUCCACAUAAUGCCCACCAUGAAAGCUAAGCAAACAUGGUUCCAACUAUUAGAUGCUGUUACCACUUUGAGCUUUUAAUUCUGACUGUUCCCAUCCAUCCCUUGCACCUGUUCCCUCAUUUCUGGUGAUCUUUGAAGCACUGCUGAUGUCACACUGGGGAUUGAUCAUGUCAGAUGGAUCACUGGCAGCUCACUGCUUGCAAAUGAGCUGUACCUGGCAGAAGAUUAAGGCCUGGAAAUGCUGCCAUAGAGAUUGCAGAGGGCUGCACGCUUCUGCUCCCAGUUCCUACAGACAAAACAGAAGCCUGGUGUUAGUCAGGGCAAGCUCCUCCUGGAUCUGCAAGGUGAACUUCCACACAGUUUCACUGAAGGUGGCAGAGAUUUUAGGAGAGCCCUAGGGCAGGAGAAAAGCUUGUUUGCCCUAGCAGCUCAUUAGCACUAAGGAUUCAUUAAAAAGAGGAACUACAUAGCAAUUGGGACUGAAUAGCACUGACAACCUGUUAGCC